GGGACAGUUUACAGAGUCUUGUCGGACCCCUAAAAAGUCACACCCUCAAAAGGCGUGCCCAAUCCAUAAAAAGGCGUGCCAUCAAAAGGCGUGCCCAAGUCAUAAAAAGAUGUGCCGGACAUGAUGGCGAGGCGCGUCACCACAUUGGCUUGCGCGCCCGUUUUGUCGUCUGGCGUCAAGUGGCGCGCGAUGCGCGUGUUUGCCUUGGCUAUUUAACCAAAACGGAUGCUGAGGCUGAGGCUGAGGCU